rnacentral:rRNA from 1 species
AUUGAACGCUGGCGGCAGGCCUAACACAUGCAAGUCGAACGAGUGGCGGACGGGUGAGUAAGGUCUGGGAAACUGCCUGAUGGAGGGGGAUAACUACUGGAAACGGUAGCUAAUACCGCAUACCAUCGGCUCGGCCCAGAUGGGAUUAGCUAGUAGGUGGGGUAAAGGCUCACGAAGGCGACGAUCCCUAGCUGGUCUGAGAGGAUGACCAGCCACACUGGAACUGAGACACGGUCCAGACUCCGACGGGAGGCAGCAGUGGGGAAUAUUGCACAAUGGGCGAAAGCCUGAGGGAGCAAUGCCGCGUGGAUGAAGAAGGCCUUCGGGUUGUAAAGUACUGUCAGCGGGGAGGCGUUACCCGCAGAAGAAGCACCGGCUAACUCCGUGCCAGCAGCCGCGGUAAUAC